rnacentral:rRNA from 1 species
UGGGGAAUUUUGCACAAUGGGGGAAACCCUGAUGCAGCGACGCCGCGUGAUUUAGAAGGCCCUCGGGUUGUAAAAAUCUUUUCUAUGGGAAGAAAAUGACAGUACCAUAGGAAUAAGGACCGGCUAAUUACGUGCCAGCAGCCGCGGUAAUACGUAAGGUCCGAGCGUUGUCCGGAAUCAUUGGGCGUAAAGGGUACGUAGGCGGGUAAGCAAGUUAGAAGUGAAAUCCUAUAGCUCAACUAUAGUAAGCUUUUAAAACUGCUCAUCUUGAGGUAUGGAAGGGAAAGUGGAAUUCCUAGUGUAGCGGUGAAAUGCGCAGAUAUUAGGAGGAAUACCGGUGGCGAAGGCGACUUUCUGGCCAUAACCUGACGCUGAGGUACGAAAGCGUGGGUAGCAAACAGG